GGCUUGGCUUCCUCCGGAGUCUGAAAUUACUGCCGGAGGCGGCCUUGUUGUGUCUUAGCCGAGAAGUACCUCGAGAGCUACCUGAACUCCCUGCUGGCAAUGUCCUUCUACUGCAACUACCACGCCAUGGUGGAGUUCCUGGAUGUCAGCCAGCUCUCCUUCAUCCCCGACCUGGGACCCAAGGGCCUGGAGGGCAUGAUCCUGAAACGCUCCGGCGGGCACCGAAUCCAGGGGCUCAACUGCUGUGGGCACCACCAGAUCUGCUACCGCUGGUCGAAGAGGUGAGCUGGGGGGGCCAGGGCGGGGCCGGGGUCUGUGUGGCCCCCUCGCCCCUCACUGGCCCCGUCUCCCCCCAGGUGGCUGGUGGUGAAGGAUUCCUUCCUGCUGUACCUCAAGCCGGAGUCGGGGGUCGUCUCCUUCGUGCUGCUGUUCGACCCGGGAUUCAGCGUCAUGAUGGGGAAGAAAUCCACCGACAGCAAGUACGGGGUCCGCAUCGAGAACAGUGCCAGGUCCGGACGCCAGGGU
rnacentral:lncRNA from 1 species